rnacentral:lncRNA from 1 species
ACAUGCUUGGAGCUAAAAAGAUGGACGAAAUUGAAGAUCAAAGGAGCGUAGGAUUGAAUGAAGAUGUGAAGAAUUGGAUUUAAGACAAAUAAAGAAUGAAGAGUUCAAAAUUGGAAGCCAAAGUUUCUAAAGUUGGAAGUUUCUAUUCUUGGAGGUUUCCAUUCUUGAUGGUUUCCAUAUCAAAGGAGCGUAGGAUUGAAUGAAGAUGUGAAGAAUUGGAUUCAAGACAAAUAAAGAAUGAAGAGUUCAAAAUUGGAAGCCAAAGUUUCUAAAGUUGGAAGUUUCUAUUCUUGGAGGUUUCCAUUCUUGAUGGUUUCCAUCUUUGGCUCUAAACUUUCCUAAUCCUAAUUCACCUAUGUUCCAGCUGCAAGGAGGCUUCCUAAAU